rnacentral:snRNA from 1 species
AACAGAAAGCGCGGAAAGAACAG